rnacentral:rRNA from 1 species
GAUCAUGGCUCAGGAUGAACGCUAGCUACAGGCUUAACACAUGCAAGUCGAGGGGCAGCAUGAACUUAGCUUGCUAAGUUUGAUGGCGACCGGCGCACGGGCGAGUAACACGUAUCCAACCUUCCGUUUACCCAGGGAUAGCCUUUCGAAAGAAAGAUUAAUACCUGAUAGUAUGGUGAGAUUGCAUGAUAACACCAUUAAAGAUUUAUUGGUAAACGAUGGGGAUGCGUUCCAUUAGGUAG